rnacentral:misc_RNA from 1 species
AAGUCGUAACAAGGUUUCCGUAGGUGAACCUGCGGAAGGAUCAUUAGUGAAUUAAACAUGCUUGGUGUCUUCGCUUCGGCAAGGCCCUUGCUUAACUCACAUCCCAACACCUGUGAACUGUAAGGCGCAUGACUAGGUUCGCCCAGUCAUCGUCUGCCCUUUUUAACAAACAAUUAAUGUAACAAACGUAGUCUUAUUAUAACCUAAUAAAACUUUCAACAACGGAUCUCUUGGCUCUC